CCUCUCAUAGGUUGGUGCUAAAGAGCAUUGGGUAUAAAUCAUUACCAGUUGAUGGCUUACCCUUUGAUCAUAAAAAAGGUAUUGUUCCAAACAUUAAAGGUCGAGUUAUAAGUGAUGCGCAAAAAGAUCCUCCAGUUCUUGAGAAGGGUUUGUAUGUAUGCGGAUGGUUAAAGAGAGGACCAACAGGAAUCAUUGGCACAAACCACUAUUGCGCUGAAGAAACUGUCGCAAGUAUAUCGGAAGACGUUGAGCGAGGAUUAGUGGCGUCCUCAGCUAGCUUGCCCAAGCCUGGCAGAGAGGGUCUCCUCCAGGUGCUGGAUGAUCGUAAUGUUAGAGUUCUACCAUUUAGUGCUUGGGAAAAAAUAGAUUCUGAAGAAAGGCGGCUUGGGAGUUUAAGAAACAAACCCAGGGAGAAACUGGUAACAUGGGAAGACAUAAUGAAAGUAGCAGACUAGCAGCUGAAUAAUGUUUUCAACCAGUUUUUAUUUUUAAUUUAUUUCAGGUUUCUCACAAAAUAAUGGAAAGGUUGAUAUGUGACAUUGAUGCGAUUCAUUUUUCCUGUUGUAAUAUCCUACAUAAGUUUGUUGUCAAGAAUUCAAUUAUUUUUUUAAUAGAAGAAUUUUUAUG